AUUGAACGCUGGCGGCAGGCCUAACACAUGCAAGUCGAACGGUAGCAGGAAACAGCUUGCUGUUUCGCUGACGAGUGGCGGACGGGUGAGUAAUGUCUGGGAAACUGCCUGAUGGAGGGGGAUAACUACUGGAAACGGUAGCUAAUACCGCAUAACGUCGCAAGACCAAAGAGGGGGACCUUCGGGCCUCUUGCCAUCGGAUGUGCCCAGAUGGGAUUAGCUAGUAGGUGGGGUAACGGCUCACCUAGGCGACGAUCCCUAGCUGGUCUGAGAGGAUGACCAGCCACACUGGAACUGAGACACGGUCCAGACUCCUACGGGAGGCAGCAGUGGGGAAUAUUGCACAAUGGGCGCAAGCCUGAUGCAGCCAUGCCGCGUGUAUGAAGAAGGCCUUCGGGUUGUAAAGUACUUUCAGCGGGGAGGAAGGGAGUAAAGUUAAUACCUUUACUCAUUGACGUUACCCGCAGAAGAAGCACCGGCUAACUCCGUG
rnacentral:rRNA from 1 species